CUAUGGUGGCGACCGGCGCACGGGUGCGUAACGCGUAUGCAACCUACCUUUAACAGGGGGAUAACACUGAGAAAUUGGUACUAAUUCCCCAUAACAUUCGAGAAGGCAUCUUCUUGGGUUAAAAACUCCGGUGGUUAAAGAUGGGCAUGCGUUGUAUUAGCUAGUUGGUGAGGUAACGGCUCACCAAGGCAACGAUACAUAGGGGGACUGAGAGGUUAACCCCCCACAUUGGUACUGAGACACGGACCAG
rnacentral:rRNA from 1 species